UCAUCAUUAAAUAAAUUUAGAGAGAUAGCAUAACCUACAGGGGAUAGUGCAAUUUUACCAACCAAUUACCACUUGUAUGGUUUAAGUAAUUUACAUUAUUUUGGCAGCUGUUAUUCAUCCAUUUGCUGAGCUACUAGCAUAUUAUAUGCUCUUUGCCAUACCCGUGUUCACAACUGUAUUCACUGGGACUGUUUCAAUGGCUUCACUUGGUGCUUAUACCAUCUAUCUUGAUUUCAUGAACCUGAUGGGCCAUUGCAACUUUGAGCUAAUUCCUAAGUGGACGUUCUCUAUCUUUCCCCCGCUCAAGUACUUGAUGUAUACUCCCUCGUGAGUCUUCUUGCCCUGUAUAUUUUUUAUGAGUUUAAGUAACACUAUUUUAUACAACAAUGUCUCUAAUUAAGUAAUUAUAAGUAAAUUAAUCUUCUGAAAGAUCUCAAACUUGAUUUAGUUAUUUAGAUAUAGAUUCAAGAACACUUCAUGUUUGUGCAUAUCUAAAAGGCAGUACAGUGGACUGAUUAAGGUUACCAGAGAGAUGCAAAAUUGUACUUAGGUAUAUAUUGUCUGAUGCAAUAUCGAUAUGCAAAAAACAAAAGAUAAAGGAUAGAAGAAUGACACAAGAUGGAUAAGAGUUGAGAAUAAUGGUUACAUGACAACCGAUACCCCCAGUUACAAGACUCCAAAAGCACCAAUUCUAUAGAAAGCAUGACACAAGAAUGAGACUAAUAGGCAACAAUGGCUAUUAAAGCCAAAACCUCCUAUUAAGAACACCAAACAAGCACCUAUACUAUAGAGACACCCUCACGCCUCAAGAGGAAUGAUCCUCAAGCAAGUAAUCUCAUCAACAUUUCAAUCAACAAUGACCUUAGUCCGAACUACCUCAAGAGUAUCUCUAUUCAAAAUCAAUCUACGUCUAAAUGAGCUAUUCUCACCUAUUUAUAGUCUAGGCUAGCUAUUACAUAAAAGGUCCAAAAGUGGCACUUCAAAUAAUUGCAAAAACAAUCAAAAUCAGACUCCAUGUAGUAUGCGACGUAGCUUGUGGCGUCGCAUCUACCAUUUGCGGUCGCAUCCAUCUCCGCAUCUCGAAAACAAUGAGUCUUGAAGUUUUAGACUGAAUGCAACUCGGGUUGCAGUCACAACCUCUCACUUGCGGUUUAAGCUUAGCAUUUCACAUUGCAAGUGAGUCCUUUCUCCCUGCUCCAAGUAUUCCUCCAAGUUAGAGACAGGAUAGUUUUAUCAAAUUUAACUUCUGCUUCCAACUUUAGUUACUCAGGGAAAUAGAUAGAAACAAGAGAAAUUAUUGUCUCUUGUCAACUGUACUUUUCCUAGUCUAUAGGUUGGGCAGGUUAGUAAUAACAUGAAGCUCUGUAUUUGUGGUUGAUUAUUCUUUUGACACUAAUAUCAAUAUUUUGAUGGCACAGGUACCACUCACUACAUCACACUCAGUUUAGAACAAAUUAUUCACUUUUUAUGCCAAUGUAUGACUAUCUGAAUGGUACAGUGGAUAAGUCAUCAGACACGUUGUAUGAAAAGUCACUCGAGAGAGAAGCUGAAGUGCCUGAUGUGGUGCACCUUACGCAUCUAACAACCCUAGAAUCCAUCUACCAUCUUCGACUAGGGUUUGCAUCACUGGCCUCAAAGCCUCACGCCUCUAAGUGGUAUUUGUUGCUAAUGUGGCCCGUCACACUAUGUUCAAUAGUGCUUACAUGGAUUUACGGUCACACAUUUGUUGUUGAGAGAAAUUUGUUCAAGAAUCUCAAAUUACAAACCUGGGCUAUCCCGAAGUAUCGCAUACAAGUAAUUAAGUUAUAUUAUUAAAGAUUAUAGUUACAUUUUGCAGGUCUGUUGUUAAAGUGAUUAUUAAUAUAUCCUGAUUCUUUGUUUUGUUGCAGUACUUUAUGCAAUGGGAAAGAGAGAGUAUUAACUAUUUGAUCGAGGAAGCCAUCAUUGAAGCAGAUCAGAAAGGCAUAAAAGUGUUGAGCCUUGGACUCUUAAAUCAGGCAAGUCAAAAUAUGUGUUAAAAGCGUAAUACCACCCAUCCUUACUUUAUCUAUGAAAAAAAUGCAUGAUCUGUUCUUAACUGGUAAUUAUCUUGCAACCUUAUUGCAAAAUGUUUUGUACACAAUCAAAAGAUAUUGUUAUUAUGGAGAAAAAGAUUUUAAAAAAGAAGUCACCCCUCACCCUAUAUCAAUGUUUGUAGGCUGAACCAAUUAAAGAAGGUCAACUCAUACUUAUGCUUUAUUUCAAAUGUACUUUCCAGGAAGAGCAACUGAAUAGUCAUGGUGAAUUUUACGUAAAGAGGUAUCCACACCUGAAAGUGAAGGUGGUAGAUGGAAGUAGCUUAGCUGUAGCCGUGGUCCUAAACUCCAUUCCUGAAGGAACUUCCCAAGUUGUCCUUCGAGGUAGCUUGUCCAAAGUUGCUAACUCCAUUGCCCUUGCCUUGUGCCAAGGAGAAAUUCAGGUAUAUUUAACUAUUAAUCUCCUACAUCAUUUUUGGUUUUAUCUCAUUCAACAUAAUUUCUAUAUAUAGGUUGUCACGUUAAACAGAGACGAUUACAAGAGACUUAAAGCAAAGCUUACCCCCCAGGCUGCAACUAAUAUGGUCCUCUCGAAUUCUUAUAAUGUUUCAAAGGUAUAAACCAAAAAUAAAUUGAAAUAUACUGAUCUAAAUCUUGACCAUUUAUAACAUUUCCUUGCACCUCCCCCUCCCUCCUAGAUCUCCUAACCCAAAGUUUUUAUCAUUACGUGAGGUUUGAACAAUUCUGGUUUUUUUAAAAGAGGCUCUUGAUUGAAAUAUUAUAUUGCAGACAUGGCUAGUAGGGGAUGGAUUGAGUGAUGACGAGCAAUUGAAAGCACCAAAAGGAACACUAUUUAUUCCCUUUUCACAAUUUCCACUAAGAAAAGUUCGCAAGGACUGCUUCUAUUUCAACACACCAGCCAUGAUUGCUCCAAAGCAUCUUGAAAAUGUAGACUCUUGUGAGGUUAGAAAAGAUCAUUUAAUGUUAUUAAUUUCUCUAUACUAAUUUGACGGUUUUUUAAAAUUAAAGAAAUUCAUGAGUGAUUUUCUUUUAAUUCUAGAAUUGGCUACCAAGAAGAGUGAUGAGUGCGUGGAGAGUAGCUGGAAUUGUGCAUGCAUUGGAAGGUUGGAAUGAGCAUGAUUGUGGUGAGAUGAUGAUUGAUGUUGAAAAAGUGUGGAAAGCUAGUCUCAGUCAUGGUUUUUGCUCAUUAACCAAGACUUCUGCUGCUUAAUCAAAGGGCUAAAAUUAUACUACUAUUAUAGAUAGACUGCUGCUUAAAUUAUUGAAUCUUGGAUCUAUGGUACCAUUUCGUUGGGUAAACGAAAAGUAUGCACAAUAUUAGCCUCUACUAGAACAUGUAAUAGGUAGCAAACCCAUUAAUAUAAAGGUUUGAGGUAUGGAUCUCAUUAAGAAUUGGCUAUAAGAACACCUACCCCAUUGAGCUACCCUUGGCCAAACCUCUCCUUCCCCGGUCCAUGCUCCCAAGCCUACCCCUACCGACGUUGUGACAAUUGGUUACAUUAAUGAGCUACUAGCAUAAUCGAAAAUCAACCUAAAACAUUGACUGUGUUGUACUUACUGUUCUAUUGAAUUUCGAAUUAAAUUCAUAACAAAACCAAUGCCAAUAUAUCCAAAACGAAAUAAAAUGAAGAGAACAGAAACAAAUAAACCAAAUCACACAGAAUUUCAAGAGCAAAACACAUUUGUAUACAAAAUGCAGCGAGGAAAAAAAUCGGAGAGGCCAAAAAGAAGCUUAAGUUGGCGAAGCUUACCAGAGAUGGGAGAAAACGGGUAAAUUUGCACGGAACCAGACGGCCUAACACAGAGAAGAGCGACAAAGGAUCAACAAAAAAUUGAGGAAGAGGAUUGAAACUGGAGAACACGAAUGCAAUUUUCUAUGGUGAUGCAGGGAAAAAUAGCAAUUUGGGUCCUUGAUUUAUUAUCUUAUUCCUAUUUUAG
rnacentral:lncRNA from 1 species